rnacentral:rRNA from 1 species
GUCACCUACAAGGCUGGACUGAAUGCACCCGAUCCCAUCUGAUCUCGGAAGCUGAAGCGCAGGCCUGGCUAGUACCUGGGUGGCGGCCACGUGGGAAUCCCGGGGGGCACAGGCA